ACAUGGCGCAGUGUAGUCACGUGACCAAUCAAUGAGAUCGCCUGAAGCCGACUGUCCUUACUCUCUAUACACGGCUCUGACCCGAGGUUUAAUGAGGAAAUCAAGGAAGCCGAUAUUAAAAGAUUCCUGGAGGAUGCCACUGUCCUAAACCCCAGAUUUGAAUCCAAAGUGGAUAAAGAUGAAGUCUGGGACCGGAUCAGGAACAAAAAGGGAUACAAAAGGUGGGGGAAGAAGACGACUAUGUAAGUUUAGGUUAUUGUUAUGAUAAUGGUCCCAUUUUUAUAGUGUUUGGUAUGACUCACGACCUACCGAUCUCAGGGCGGACACUUUUAGCACUAGGCCACCAGGAGGAUUACCUCCAGAUUUUUCAGGACAACCUAAAAUCCCUGAGGUUGGGUCUUGGGCGCAGUUGGGUGUUCCAACAGGACACUGACUCCAA